rnacentral:rRNA from 1 species
UACAGAGGGUGCGAGCGUUGUCCGGAAUCACUGGGCGUAAAGGGCGCGUAGGCGGCCUGAUAAGUCGGGGGUGAAAUCCUGUGGCUCAACCACAGGGCUGCCUCCGGGACUGUCGGGCUCGAGCACAGUAGAGGCAGGUGGAAUUCCCGGUGUAGCGGUGAAAUGCGUAGAGAUCGGGAGGAACACCAGAGGCGAAGGCGGCGACCUGGACAGAUACUGACACUCAACUACGAAAGCGUGGGGAGCAAACAGG